CAGCCCCAUACACAGCAAACUGCGAUACAUGCUGCCAGUGGCGGUCUAAAGGGGGGUGGAGAGGGCGGUCAGCCCCGGGUGCCACCAGGUAGGGCAAAUGGGGGAUGUGUGAGCUGCCAAUGGGGGAUGUGUGAGCUGCGCCCCAUGGCAGCUGGGGUGCUACACAGCUCACACGGAGAGACCAGCAAGCUGAACUGGCGGCACGGAAGGAAGAAGGGACAGGACUAUGUACAUUUGGGGCGGAGCCAAUCCGCAAGCUGGGGCGGGCUUAACACGGCCCUUACCCACUGCUGUUACUGCUGCACAUG